GUCUGUGACCGCAUAACCCCGAACGUGCAUGACCUCGCUAGAUCUCCGCAGCUAAGCAGGUUUUAACCUGGUUCAUACUUGGAUGGGAGACUGCCUGUCGAGUCUGCAGGUGGCGUAACUG
rnacentral:rRNA from 1 species